rnacentral:rRNA from 1 species
UACAGAGGUCCCAAGCGUUGUUCGGAUUCAUUGGGCGUAAAGGGUGCGUAGGCGGCGCGGUAAGUCGGGUGUGAAAUCUCGGAGCUUAACUCCGAAACUGCAUUCGAUACUGCCGUGCUUGAGGACUGGAGAGGAGACUGGAAUUUACGGUGUAGCGGUGAAAUGCGUAGAUAUCGUAAGGAAGACCAGUGGCGAAGGCGGGUCUCUGGACAGUUCCUGACGCUGUGGCACGAAGGCCAGGGGAGCAAACGGG